rnacentral:rRNA from 1 species
UACGGAGGGGACUAGCGUUGUUCGGAAUUACUGGGCGUAAAGCGCACGUAGGCGGAUUUGUAAGUCAGGGGUGAAAUCCCGAGGCUCAACCUCGGAACUGCCUUUGAUACUGCAAAUCUCGAGUCCGGAAGAGGUGAGUGGAAUUCCUAGUGUAGAGGUGAAAUUCGUAGAUAUUAGGAAGAACACCAGUGGCGAAGGCGGCUUACUGGUCCAUAACUGACGCUGAGGUGCGAAAGCGUGGGGAGCAAACAGGG